GUUAUGAUGGUACUAAGUAGACAUUCUUCUAUAGGAAAUGGUGAAUGUGUUUAUGCGCAAUAGGAAUCUUCUUCCAGUGAGCAAGAUGUUGAUGCUUCGGUGCAAUCUGAAGGACUUAGUUAGAAGCUAGUUAGACUUACAUUUUAGUUCUAUAUCGGAAUGAAAGCUAGUUACAUUACCACCUGGAAAAUGUUACCAUUUGGAGAUUUUACUAAGCCCCUUCCAGGCAAUAAUAUACAUGUUCAGUGUUAUAGGUCUUGGAACAUGGAAGUUUUUUUUGUAUGUGCCACUUCAUAUUUUCAUUAUAAUCAAAUAUUUUAUUUUCUUUUUGAGAUGUUAUGUAUCUUAUGGGUGAAGGAAGAGGAAACCUUGAUUUAUAAUACCACCCCUCUUAGCAUAUUAUGAUCCAACCAUUAGUAAUUAACAGAAAAUGGGAGCUAUGCGGAGUAACUAACUAAAAGGUAGCACAAGUUCAGAUUUCCACUCAAGCGACAAGCAUCAAUUGCUUUAAUUGCAUAAGAGUAUGAAAAAUAUGAACAACUCAAUAUGAGAUUCAUUUGAAAUCACGGUAAAUCAAUGUUUUAUUAAUAGAUGCCAAUGAUUUAUUGUCAUUAAAUUAAAACCAUAGUAUACCUGCGAGGACAUGGCGGCCACCUAAUUCUCCAUUUCAGUUCCAGUAGCAAGAAACAACAAAUUUAUGAAAUGAAUCUACUUUUGUUACCUUCGUUAGUUUUUAUCCUUGAAUAAAAAGUGAUUUUUUUUGUAAUGAUAUUGCUCAUCUAAUUAAUAAAUUAGACCCUCGGCAGGUUGCAUUAUGCAAUUGUUCUAAUCUUCUCACCGUUGACAGAGCAUGGUGCCCCAAUGUUUGGUUUUUGUAAUUGAUGACAAUGUCAGGACCGGAUUUUCGGGAUAUUAGUUUCCAGAAAAUGGCCCUUGUGCUCACCAGCCCCAGGAUUACUUUUAGCUGAUGAGGCACCAACUUGAUACAGAAAUUCCAAGCAAAAUACAUAAUAUGUAGUACAAGACCAUUCUGGCCUAUGAGUACAACAAAUGGUUUCCAGUGGUUGAUGGCGGAAGCGGUUUGUGGAUCAUCAGCGUCUAUGGGACUCCAAUUCCCACAUGAACAGCUGCCAGGUUAACUCCUAUCUUCGCGAGGCUGCUAUCACCGUUGCUUAGGUUCCGGGGCUGUCAUCGCAACGCUCCUCUCCAAGCAAGAAAUCUGGCCAAGACAAUAGCCAGGGACAAGCCAGUGAGUACUUUUGAAUGUACUCGCAAACAUUAUGAACACGGGUAUGAUAUAACAACCAAUAAUCAUACUCUAAAAUAUUCUAUGCUCACAACGUCCGUCAUAAAAAUAAUAUCCCUGAUACAUGCAAGCAGGUUAUUUAUGUAAAACAUGAAUAUGCAAUCAGAGAGUAAAAAUAAAAUGCACCGAGCGGGUGUCUGAAGCGACGCCUCGAAAGGAUAAUAAUAUAAGGCAUGCCUCAGUCGGGCGUCUGCGCGACACCACAUACAUGGCUUAUAAAGUAAAUAAAUAAUGAGCAUGCCACAGUCGGGCGUCUGAGAGACACCACAUAAAGGGCUUAUAAGGUAAACAAUAAGAAUGCCACAGUCGGGCGUCUGAGCGACACCACAUAAAGGGCUUAUAAGGUAAACAAUAAGAAUGCCACAGUCAGGCGUCUGAGCGACACCACAUAAAGGGCUUAUAAGGUAAACAAUAAGAAUGCCACAGUCGGGCGUCUGAGCGACACCACAUAAAGGGCUUAUAAGAAAACAAUCACAGUGAAUAUCCAGGAGGUAGAACCGUCCCAGAAUAAUCCCAGUAAUAUGGUGGGUAAGUCCAUAAUAGUAAUAAUCCCAAUCAUCAUAGUCAACACAAGUCACAGGUCAUGAUCCAUGUUCUGGUUUAGCAGUUUCUCCUCCGAAGACCGACACUUGACCAAACCCAGACUGUAGUCCUUAACCAUGGACAUGGCUAUUCGAAUAGAUUUAACCUCUGCAAACGGUGUACUCUUUACCCACGAGUAACGGAUUCCUUUAGUCCAUCGGGACUAAUUCCGUCUACGGCCUUUUAAUAGAAAACACACCUGACUUGCACACACCAGCUUAACUUACCAGUGUCUGGAAUCACCCACGACACCUGUCAAGCAAAAACUCUAAGUGGGGAGGCUACAACCUCGCGUAGCAUGGGAUCAAAUUCAUAUCGCACACUCUAAGUGGUGCCCCCCUCUCGGUCCCAUCCGAAAACACCCAUGCCCCCGGACCAGGUGGCCUGCCUACCAGCUGCAGUCGGUAUCUUCCACCAUGGCCUCUCUGUACGGUGUGUGCUAGAAAGGGGUUGACAGACAACUUACUGUACCGUACCCUACCUGCUGUAGGGACAAGUGGUAGUACGAAACAAGUAUGGGGGUUACUGGAACAAGACUCGAUCUAUGGCCGACUCAGGAAGUUUAAGUAUUCCCAGCAUGAUUAGCUUAAUGAAUAUAUUUCAUCCAACAGACAGGAUCACCACUCAUCAUACCCCAUCAUGCCAUACCGGACACACUCGUCUCGACGAGGAACUAGGGACAAGCUCGGGUCUACCCAAGAUAGAGACUUUCCAGUUUUCCUUCUGGUAGGCGCGAAGGGCAUACGAGGAUGAUCACUAUCACAAGCAUGUCCAUUUCCAACAGCAAGGAAAUCCCCAAUAUGCAUUCAUGCAAAUGAUCGCGUCACCACAUAAAAUAACGAGUUCUCCGUAUUAAGGUGGUGUUAUAAUCAUGUCAACUAACACACAAAAAUAUUAUGCCAGGGUUCAGAAUGCUUGCCUUCAAGGGUAUGCAAGUGGGGUGUGCCUUUUGAAAGUUGACUUCUUCUCCAAAAACCUAUUUUUGAAAAUAUUCAAAUUAACACAUACUUUAAAAACUGUACAAAAACGUUGCUUGGAAAAUUUUCAAAUAAAUAUGAAAAUAAACUAGACAAUAUUUGGGAAACAACAGAAAAAGAAUCAAGUCAUUUGGAUUUAUAUCUAAAAAGUUAUAGCCUAUCAAAGUUUAGUCAACUUUCUGUUUUUAAAAUAAAUCUGAAAAAAAGAAAAACGUUUCGAAAAGGGUACACGUCGAAGACGUACUUUGGGAAUAUGCCUCCACUUAAAACACGUGGUGGCGGGGUUGGGUCACUGACAGUGGGUCCAGCGGCCCCACUGGUCAGGUUUGACUAGUCCCCCGCCUUCUUCCUCCUCUGUCCGAGCCGAGGCGGGGGCUCCGGCGAUCGACGCUGGCGAACGGCAGCUCCUCGCGGGGCUCUGAGGGCGAGGAUGGAUCCGCCACUCCCAGGUGGUCCUCCCGGUGGUUGAGAGGGUGGCGGGGACGAAGGGAGUCGCCGGCGGUGAGCCUUGCGGUGGACGGCAGCUUCGGGAGGUUUGGGGGUUUGGGUUAUGGUGCUUCCCGAUCGACGCUGAGAGGGUGGGUGGCUCCGCACGGUUGGGGGGAGAAGGAUGGAAGCACGGGAGGGGUUUGGGGGCCUCGGUCUUGACCGGAUUUCACCGGAGUGUGGCGGCGGCCGAACCUGUCGGGGACGAGGAAGAUGGCCGUCAUUCGCCGAUUGCUGGCUACGGGGGGGCUCUAGGGGGGGUGGCUCGAGGCUGCCUGAGUGCUGGGACGAGCUCGGGGUCCCCUUUUAUAGUGCAACGAGGUCGGUUCCGCGGCGGCAGUGGAUAGGGACGCCGGCGAACCGCUUUUCUGUAGCUAGGGGUGAGGUGGAGAUGCUUGGAGCUGGUCGGCGCACUCCGACGAACUCCACACUGCUCAAGAGGCGAGCUGGCUCUCGUGUGUGGCUCGGGCGGCGCCGUCCAGGGCAGAGGUUGUCGGGGCGGCGGUGGCGACAUGCAGUGGUGAUGCUGUGGUGCGCCAGGAGGGGGGGCCAGGGUGGCUCUACAGCGAGGGAGGGGUCGGGACGCUGGCUGCGAGUGGAAGGGGCCAGAACGGGAGCGGGGGAGGCGGCAGCGGGAGGUGGCGGCUUGGGCGCACACACGUGCAAAACGCGCGCUCUGGGCGCGCCCAGAGCACGCACGUGACGUGCUCGACAAAAUGACAGGGUGACCUAGAGUGCUUGAGCGAGGCUGGCAAAUAACCGGACUAGGUUAGAGUCUGCAAGAAAGUUAGUGGACAAACUGGUUUGUCCAGAGGUGCAAGGUCACAGUGCAAAGGCAAAAAUCAUGUCAAAACUGCCCAUGCACUUAAGGUAUUUGACAAAAUGCCAAUGGCAUCUAGGCAACUCUUGGGGUGGCCAAAUAUUCCAGAUCAAAGUCUAUUUAGAUGUAGGAGAGGAUGGCAAGUUUAGUUGGCCAAAUGUAGAAACUUGUUAGUGUAAGUUUUGCAAAACUCCAGUUCUGGACAGAAGGAAAAGGGUAUAAUAUCAUGUACCAAAAAUGCUCCAAUGAGUCCAACCUCCUGGACUUAAGGGUUUGCUAGGGUGGUCUACAAUCAGGAGAAAGAAUCAAGGGAAAAAGAGCAAGCAAAAACAUGGUUGCAAUACAAAUCACCAAGUUGAACCAGAAUGCAAAUGAGGAUGAUUCACUCAAUUUUUUCAAAGAGCAUCAAUGGGUUCUUGCAUAAAGAUGAAUAAUAUACUCCUAUUAACACCCCAUAAUUUUCGUGGAAGUUUUAAAGAAAUAUUUAAUUAGGUUGUAAUGCAAAAUUGCCCAAUGGACCAGAUUUGAAAAUUUGAUGUAGAGCUCAAAAUAUCGAAAAAAUGAUAUAUAAUUUUGCAUAAAAGUGAUUUAAAAACAUCACAUGACAUCCCCAAAUUUUGGUGGGAUUUUUAAAUGAAUUUAUAAAAGGGUUGCAGUUCAAAUGGGACCCUAAAAUUUAUGAAAAACCCUUUUGGAGGAAUAAAGCUCAGGAAAAAUAAUUAUAUAAAUAAUCCUACUGAUAAAAGAAUUGUUUUAUUUGAGAGGGUAACUAAGUCCAAUAAUGUUUGAAACUUUUUCACUUGGGGUAAAAACCUCAUAAAAAUAAAGAAAAGAAUGGUUCUGAAAUCAACAGGAAAUCUAGAAAAUAAAAGUUUAAGUUUCCUGGCAAAAUUUUAAUAAAUAAAACAUGGUUAAAUUUUUGGGGUGUCACAACACUACCCCCCUUAAGAAAAAUCUCGUCCUCGAGAUUUGUUAAGAGUUGUUUUCGAAAAUAUCAUUCCUGUUAGUUGAAACCAAAAGGUUUACUCAUAGUACAAACCUUGUGUCGUCAAGGUUGGUUUUUGGCAGCUACGUCCGAGGUUAAAAAUGCAAUCUCACAUCGACAUACUCAUGCAUGGCUACUAUUUAAAAUAGGGCGCACAAGCAACAGUAUUUAAUUACGGCGAUACAGGGUCACACAGUUACAAGGCGAGGACAUGCUAAGACUUGGUACUACUCGAGCGACUCUAGUCUACCUCGUUAAUAUCUAAGCGGGCGUGCCUUGCGGACGUCGAGGCUUCACCACGGUUUUCACCGUCGGGAUUAGCUGGAGGGGGUUGAGGGGCUACAGGGUCGGGGUAGCGAUGAUGACCAUUCCGGGGAUUGUUGGCCACAAUCCCGUUGGAAUGUGUUCCCAAAAGGCGACGAAGCACUUCUGGGGCCAUCAAGGUAUUAUGGUCGAUGGCUGGGGCAGACCUCAAGGACUCGAUCGGUUGUCCGAACAGCACGACUGGGCUAUCGGUGCCGGACUCCUCUUCUCCUCUUGCUGGGGCUCGGCGGGUCAGUUCUCCACGAGCUGCGAUCAGAUCAAGGGUGAUUUGAUCGAACAGUCCCUCUAGUACACAUAGCCUACCAGAUGCAAUAAUGCAGGAUCCAUCUCGUGGUCUCUGUUGGCAACUUGGGGUGGUCUACCAUAUCCGACACGGCUGGGGUAGUAGUAGAACGAGCGGCAGUUGACUCUGGGCGACAAGUGCCGGAGUUGAACUAUAGCCUCUCGAGCAGCUAGUUGGAUGGCUUGUGGCUCAAAGGAAGUUGUCCUUCCGGUGAACCUGUAGGGGCGUUCUGGCGAUAGACCCCUACCGUAGACGUGCAUAGUGGCCCAGAAUUGACGGCUCUCACCGCUCAUGGGUCCUUGGUACACAACAUAUUCUGGGGGCUCUUCUAACGCGAAGGCACGGCGGGUGAGGUUUGCUAGCACGGUCACAAAACCUCCAAGGUUGGUUGCCGUGGUCUCAUUGUGAACAAUGGGUCCUGGCAUUUUAGCUUGGUUUGGGCAGAGGUUGUGCUGUGCUAGGUUGGGGCUAGCGUGCCCUUUUUAUAAAAAAAAGAACGGAGUCUUCCUUCGCACGCUUGCGAAUGAGAUAAUUUUGGUGUCGGUCACUGGCGCGUGAUCGACAGGCUAGGCUGAUAGGUUGGGCACCGACUGCCAAAAAGGUGUCGAUCACUGUGUGGCUAUCUUACACGAGAAGCUUGGCCGGAGUUAGGUUAAGGCCUGGUGGGUUGGUUUACCUAGGUUUUUUUUUACCUGUCUAAGAUAGGAUUAGCCAAUGGUCAGCCUGGCUCUGAUACCAAGUUUGUCAGGACCGGAUUUUCGGGAUAUUAGUUUCCAGAAAAUGGCCCUUGUGCUCACCAGCCCCAGGAUUACUGUUAGCUGAUGAGGCAACAACUUGAUAUAGAAAUUCCAAGCAAAAUACAUAAUAUGUAGUACAAGACCUUUCUGGCCUAUGAGUACAACAAAUGGUUUCUAGUGGUUGAUGGCGGAAGCGGUUUGUGGAUCAUCAGCGUCUAUGGGACUCCAAUUCCCACAGGAAUAGCUGACCUGGUUAACUCCUAUCUUCGUGAGGCUGCUAUCACCGUUGCUUAGGUUCCGGGGCUGUCAUCGCAACGCUCCUCUCCAAGCAAGAAAUCUGGCCAAGACAAUAGCCAGGGACAAGCCAGUGAGUACUUUUGAAUGUACUCGCAAACAUUAUGAACAUGGGUAUGAUAUAACAACCAAUAAUCAUACUCUAAAAUAUUCUAUGCUCACAACGUCCGUCAUAAAAAUAAUAUCCAUGAUACAUGCAAGCAGGUUAUUUACGUAAAACAUGAAUAUGCAAUCAGAGAGUAAAAAUAAAAUGCACCGAGCGGGUGUCUGAAGCGACGCCUUGAAAGUAUAAUAAUAUAAGGCAUGCCUCAGUCGGGCGUCUGCGCGACACCACAUACAUGGCUUAUAAAGUAAAUAAAUAAUGAGCAUGCCACAGUCGGGCGUCUGAGCGACACCACAUAAAGGGCUUAUAAGGUAAACAGUAAGAAUGCCACAGUCGGGCGUCUGAGCGACACCACAUAAAGGGCUUAUAAGGUAAACAAUAAGAAUGCCACAGUCGGGCGUCUGAGCGACACCACAUAAAGGGCUUAUAAGGUAAACAAUAAGAAUGCCACAGUCGGGCGUCUGAGCGACACCACAUAAAGGGCUUAUAAGAAAACAAUCACAGUGAAUAUCCAGGAGGUAGAACCAUCCCAGGGAUACUCAAUAAUCCCAGUAAUAUGGUGGGUUAGUCCAUAAUAAUAAUAAUCACAAUCAUCAUAAUCAACACAAGUCACAGGUCAUGAUCCAUGUUCUGGUUUAGCAGUUUCUCCUCCGAAGACCGACACUAAGACCGACACUUGACCCAACCCAUACUGUAGUCCUUAACCAUGGACACGGCUAUUCGAAUAGAUUUAACCUCUGCAGAGGGUGUACUCUUUACCCACGAGUAACGGAUUCCUUAAGUCCAUCGGGACUAAUUUCGUCUACGGUCUUUUAAUUGAAAACACACCUGACUUGCACGCAACAGCUUAACUUACCGGUGUCUGGAAUCACCCACGAAACCUGUCAAGCAAAAACUCUAAAUGUGGAGGCUACAACCUCACAUAGCAUGGGAUCAAAUUUAUAUCACGCGCUCUAAGGGGUGCCCCCCCCUCUCGGUCCCAGCCGGAAACACCCAUGCCCCCGGACCAGGUGGCCUGCCUACCGGCUACACUCGGUAUCUUCGACCAUGGCCUCUCUGUACGGUGUGUGCUAGAAAGGGGUUGACAACUUACUAAACCAUACCCUACCUACUGUAGGGACAAGUGGUAGUACGAAACAAGUAUGGGGGUUACUGGAACAAGACUCGAUCUAUGGCCGACUCAGGAGGUUUAAGUAUUCCCUGCAUGAUUAGCUUAACGAAUAUAUUUCAUCCAACAGACAGGAUCACCACUCAUCAUACCCCAUCAUGCCGUACCGGACACACUCGUCUCGAAGAGGAACUACGGACAAGCUCGGGUCUACCCAAGACAGAGACUUUCCCGUUUUCCUUUCGGUAGGCGCGAAGGGCAUACGAGGAUGAUCACUAUCACAAGCAUGUCCAUUUCCAACAGCAAGGAAAUCCCCAAUAUGCAUUCAUGCAAAUGAUCGCGUCACCACAUAAAAUAAUGAGUUCUCCGUAUUAAGGUGGUGUUAUAAUCAUGUCAACCAACACACAAAAAUAUUAUGCCAGGGUUCAGAAUGCUUACCUUCAAGGGUAUGCAAGUGGGGUGUGCCUUUUGAAAGUUGACUUCUUCUUCCAAAACCUAUUUUCGAAAAUAUUCAAAUUAGCACAUACUUUAAAAACAGUACAAAAAAGUUGCUUGGAAAAUUUUCAAAUAAAUAUGAAAAUAAACUAGACAAUAUUUGGGAAACAACAGAAAAAGAAUCAAGUCAUUUGGAUUUAUAUCUAAAAAGUUAUAGCCUGUCAAACUUUAGUCAACUUUCUGUUUUUAAAAUAAAACUGAAAAAAAAAGAAAAACGUUUCGAAAAGGGUACACAUCGAAGUCGUACUUUGGGAAUACGCCUCCACUUAAAACACGUGGUGGCGGGGCUGGGUCACUGACACUGGGUCCAGCGGCCCCACUGGUCAGGUUUGACUAGUCCCCCGCCUUCUCCCUCCUCUCUCCGAGCCGAGGCGGGGGCUCCGACGAUCGACGCCGGCGAACGGCGGCUCCUCGCGGGGCUCUGAGGGCGGGGAUGGAUCCGCCACUCCCGGGCGGUCCUCCCGGUGGUCGAGAGGGUGGCGGGAAUGAAGGGAGUCGCCGGCGGCGAGCCUUGCGGCGGACGGCAGCUUCGGGAGGUUUGGGGGUUUGGGUUAUGGUGCUUCCCGAUUGACGCUGAGAGGGUGGGUGGCUCUGCACGGUUGGGGGGAGAAGGAUGGAAGCACGGGAGGGGUUUGGGGGCCUCGGUCUUGGCCGGAUUUCACCGGAGUGUGGCGGCGGCCGAACCUGUCAGGGAUGAGGAAGAUGGCCGUCAUUCGCCGAUUGCUGGCUACGGGAGGGCUCUAGGGGGGUGGCUCGAGGCUGCCUGAGUGCUGGGACGAGCUCGGGGUCCCCUUUUAUAGUGCAACGAGGUUGGUUCCGCGGCGGCAGUGGAUCGGGACACCGGCGAACCGCCGUUCUGUAGCUAGGGGCGACGUGGAGGUGGUUGGAGCUGGUCGGCGCACUCCGACGAACUCCACACUGCUCAAGGGGCGAGCUGGCGCGCGUGUGUGGCUCGGGCGGCGCUAUCCAGGGCAUAGGUUGUCGGGGCGGCGGUGGCGGCCUGCGGUGGUGAUGUUGUGGUGCGCCAGGAGGGGGGGCCAGGGUGGCUCUGCGGCGAGGGAGGGGUCGGGACGCUGGCUGCGAGUGGAAGGGGCCAGAACGGGUGCGGGGGAGGCGGCAGCGGGACGCGGCGGCUCGGGCGCACGCACGUGCAAAACGCGCGCUCUGGCCGCGCCCAGAGCACGCACGCGACGUGCUCGACAAAAUGCCAGGGUGACCUAGAGUGCUUGAGCGAGGCUGGCAAAUAACCGGACUAGGUUAGAGUCUGCAAGAAAGUUAGUGGACAAACUGGUUUGUCCAGAGGUGCAAGGUCACAGUGCAAAGGCAAAAAUCAUGUCAAAACUGCCCAUGCACUUAAGGUGUUUGACAAAAUGCCAAUGGCAUCUAGGCAACUCUUGGGUGGCCAAAUAUUCCAGAUCAAAGUCUCUUUAGAUGUAGGAGAGGAUGGCAAGGUUAGUUGGCCAAAUCUAGAAACUUGUUAGUGUAAGUUUUGCAAAAGUCUAGUUCUGGACAGAAGGAAAAGGGUAUAAUAUCAUGUACCAAAAAUGCUCCAAUGAGUCCAACCUCCUGGACUUAAGGGUUUGGUAGGGUGGUCUAGAAUUAGGAGAAAGAAUCAAGGGAAAAAGAGCAAGCAAAAAUAUGGUUGCAAUACAAAUCACCAAGUUGAACCAGAAUGCAAAUGAGGAUGAUUCACUCAAUUUUCUCAAAGAGCAUCAAUGGGUUUUUGCAUAAAGAUGAAUAAUAUACUCCUAUUAACACCCCAUAAUUUUGGUGGAAGUUUUAAAGAAAUAUUUAAUUAGGUUGUAGUGCAAAAUUACCCACUGGACCAGAUUUGAAAAUUUGAUGUAGACCUCAAAAUAUCCAAAGAAUGAAAUAUAUUUUUGCAUAAAAGUGAUUUAAAAACAUCACAUGACAUCCCCAAAUUUUGGUGGGAUUUUUAAAUGAAUUUAUAAAAGGGUUGCAGUUCAAAUGGGACCCUAAAAUUUAUGAAAAACCCUUUUGGAGGAAUAAAGCUCAGGAAAAAUAAUUAUAUAAAUAAUCCUACUGAUAAAAGAAUUGUUUUAUUUGAGAGGGUAACUAAGUCUAAUAAUGUUUGAAACUUUUUCACUUGGGGUAAAAACCUCAUAAAAAUAAAGAAAAGAAUGGUUCUGAAAUCAACAGGAAAUCUAGAAAAUAAAAGUUUAAGUUUCCUGGCAAAAUUUUAAUAAAUAAAACAUGGUUAAAUUUUUGGGGUGUCACAACACUACCCCCCUUAAGAAAAAUCUCGUCCUCGAGAUUUGUUAAGAGUUGUUUUCGAAAAUAUCAUUCCUGUUAGUUGAAACCAAAAGGUUUACUCAUAGUACAAACCUUGUGUCGUCAAGGUUGGUUUUUGGCAGCUACGUCCGAGGUUAAAAAUGCAAUCGCACAUCGACAUACUCAUGCAUGGCUACUAUUUAAAAUAGGGCGCACAAGCAACAGUAUUUAAUUACGGCGAUACAGGGUCACACAGUUACAAGGCGAGGACAUGCUAAGACUUGGUACUACUCGAGCAACUCUAGUCUACCUCGUUAAUAUCUAAGCGGGCGUGCCUUGCGGACUUCGAGGCUUCGCCACGGUUUUCACCAUCGGGAUUAGCUGGAGGGGGUUGAGGGGCUGCAGGGUCGGGGUAGCGAUGAUGACCAUUCCGGGGAUUGUUGGCCACAAUCCCGUUGGAAUGUGUUCCCAAAAGGCGACGAAGCACUUCUGGGGCCAUCGAGGUAUUAUGGUCGAUGGCUGGGGCAGACCUCAAGGACUCGAUCGGUUGUCCGAACAGCACGACUGGGCUGUCGGUGUCGGGCUCCUCUUCUCCUCUUGCUGGGGCUCGGCGGGUCAGUUCUCCACGAGCUGCGAUCAGAUCAGGGGUGAUUUGAUCGAACAAUCCCUCUAGUACACAUAGCGUACCAGAUGCAAUAAUGCAGGAUCCGUCUCGUGGUCUCCGUUGGCAACUUGGGGUGGUCUACCAUAUCCGUCACGGCUGGGGUAGUAGUAGAACGAGCGGUAGUUGACUCUGGGCGACAAGUGUCGGAGUUGAACUAUAGCCUCUCGAGCAGCUAGUUGGAUGGCUUGUGGCUCAAAGGAAGUUGUCCUUCCGGUGAACCUGUAGGGGCGUUCUGGCGAUAGACCCCUACCGUAGACGUGCACAGUGGCCCAGAAUUGACGGCUCUCACAGCUCAUGGGUCCUUGGUACACAACAUAUUCUGGGGGCUCUUCUAUCGCGAAGGCACGGCGGGUGAGGUUUGCUAGCACGGUCACAAAACCUCCAAGGUUGGUUGCCGUGGUCUCAUUGUGAACAAUGGGUCCUGGCAUUUUAGCUUGGUUUGGGCAGAGGUUGUGCUGUGCUGGGUUUGGGCUAGCAUGCCCUUUAUUAAAAAAAAGGACGGAGUCUUCCUUCGCACGCUUGCGAAUGACAUAAUUUUGGUGUCGGUCACUGGCGCGUGAUCGACAGGCUAGGCUGAUAGGUUGGGCACUGACUGCCAAAAAGGUGACGGUCACUGUGUGGCUAUCUUACACGAGAAACUUGGCCGGGGUUAGGUUAAGGCCUGGUGGGUUGGUUUACCUAGGUUUUUUUUGACCUGUCUAAGAUAGGAUUAGCCAAUGGCCAGCCUGGCUCUGAUACCAAGUUUGUAAGGACCGGAUUUUUGGGAUAUUAGUUUCCAGAAAAUGGCCCUUAUGCUCACCAGCCCCAGGAUUACUGUUAGCUGAUGAGGCAACUACUUGAUACAGAAAUUCCAAGCAAAAUACAUAAUAAGUAGUACAAGACCAUUCUGGCCUAUGAGUACAACAAAUGGUUUCUAGUGGUUGACGGCGGAAGCGGUUUGUGGAUCAUCAGUGUCUAUGGGACUCCAAUUCCCACAGGAACAGCAGACCAGGUUAACUUAUCUUCGUGAGGCUGCUAUCACCGUUGCUUAGGUUCCCGGGCUGUCAUCACAACGCUCCUCUCCAAGCAAGAAAUCUGGCCAAGACAAUAGCCAGGGACAAGCCAGUGAGUACUUUUGAAUGUACUCGCAAACAUUAUGAACACGGGUAUGAUAUAACAACCAAUAAUCAUACUCUAAAAUAUUCUAUGCUCACAACGUCCGUCAUAAAAAUAAUAUCCCUGAUACAUGCAAGUAGGUUAUUUAUGUAAAACAUGAAUAUGCAAUCAGAGAGUAAAAAUAAAAUGCACCGAGCGGGUGUCUGAAGCGACGCCUCGAAAGGAUAAUAAUAUAAGGCAUGCCUCAGUCGGGCGUCUGCGCGACACCACAUACAGGGCUUAUGAAGUAAAUAAAUAAUGAGCAUGCCACAGUCGGGCGUCUGAGCGACACCACAUAAAGGGCUUAUAAGGUAAACAAUAAGAAUGCCACAGUCGGGCGUCUGAGCGACACCACAUAAAGGGCUUAUAAGGUAAACAAUAAGAAUGCCACAGUCGGGCGUUUGAGCGACACCACAUAAAGGGCUUAUAAGAAAACAAUCACAGUGAAUAUCCAAGAGGUAGACCCGUCCUAGGGAUACUCAAUAAUCCCAGUAAUAUGGUGGGUUAGUCCAUAAUAAUAAUAAUCACAAUCAUCAUAAUCAACACAAGUCACAGGUCAUGAUCCAUGUUCUGGUUUAGCAGUUUCUCCUCCGAAGACCGACACUAAGACCGACACUUGACCCAACCCAUACUGUAGUCCUUAACCAUGGACAUGGCUAUUCGAAUAGAUUUAACCUCUGCAGAGGGUGUACUCUUUACCCACGAGUAACGGAUUCCUUUAGUCCAUCGGGACUAAUACCGUCUACGGUCUUUUAAUUGAAAACACACCUGACUUGCACACACCAGCUUAACUUACCGUUGUCUCGAAUCACCCACGACAUCUGUCAAGCAAAAACUCUAAGUGUGGAGGCUACAACCUCGCAUAGCAUGGGAUCAAAUUUAUAUCGCGCGCUCUAAGGGGUGCCCCCCUCUCGGUCCCAACCGGAAACACCCAUGCCGCCGGACCAAGUGGCCUGCCUACCGGCUGUAGUCGGUAUCUUCCACCAUGGCCUCUCUGUACGGUGUGUGCUAGAAAGGGGUUGACAACUUACUGAACCGUACCCUACCUGCUGUAGGGACAAGUGGUAGUAUGAAACAAGUAUGGGGGUUACUGGAACAAGACUCGAUCUAUGGCCGACUCAGGAGGUUUAAGUAUUCCCUGCAUGAUUAGCUUAACGAAUAUAUUUCAUCCAACAGACAGGAUCACCACUCAUCAUACCCCAUCAUGCCAUACCGGACACACUCGUAUCGACGAGGAACUAGGGAUAAGCUCGGGUCUACCCAAGACAGAGACUUUCCCGUUUUCCUUCCGGUAGGCGCGAAUGGCAUACGAGGAUGAUCACUAUCACAAGCAUGUCCAUUUCCAACAGCAAGGAAAUCCCCAAUAUACAUUCAUGCAAAUGAUCGCGUCACCACAUAAAAUAACGAGUUCUCCGUAUUAAGGUGGUGUUAUAAUCAUGUCAACCAACACACAAAAAUAUUAUGCCGGGGUUCAGAAUGCUUACCUUCAAGGGUAUGCAAGUGGGGUGUGCCUUUUGAAAGUUGACUUCUUCUUCAAAUACCUAUUUUCAAAAAUAUUCAAAUUAACACAUACUUUAAAAACAGUACAAAAAAGUUACUUGGAAAAUUUUCAAAUAAAUAUGAAAAUAAACUAGACAAUAUUUGGGAAACAGCAUAAAAAGAAUCAAGUUAUUUGGAUUUAUAUCUAAAAAUUAUAGCCUGUCAAAGUUUAGUCAACUUUCUUUUUUUAAAAUAAAACUGAAAAAAAAGAAAAACGUUUCGAAAAGGGUACACGUCGAAGACGUACUUUGGGAAUACGCCUCCACUUAAAACACGUGGUGGUGGAGCUGGGUCACUGACACUGGGUCCAGCGGCCCCACUAGUCAGGUUUGACUAGUCCCCCGCCUUCUUCCUCCUCUGUCCGAGCCGAGGCGGGGGCUCCGGCUAUCGACGCCGGCGAACGGCGGCUCCUCGCGGGGCUCUAAGGGCGGGGAUGGAUCCGCCACUCCCGUGCGGUCCUCCCGGUGGUCGAGAGGGUGGCGGGGACGAAGGGAGUCGCCGGCGGCGAGCCUUGCGGCGGACGGCAGCUUCGGGAGGUUUGGGGGUUUGGGUUAUGGUGCUUCUCGAUCGACGCUGAGAGGGUGGGUGGCUCUGCACGGUUGGGGGGAGAAGGAUGGAAGCACAGGAGGGGUUUGGGGGCCUCGGUCUUGGCCGAAUUUCACCGGAGUGUGGCGGCGGCCGAACCUGUCGGGGACGAGGAAGAUGGCCGUCAUUCUCCGAUUGCUGGCUACGGGGGGGGGGCUCUAGGGGGGUGGCUCGAGGCUGCCUGAGUGCUGGGACGAGCUCGGGGUCCCCUUUUAUAGUGCAACGAGGUCGGUUCCGCGGCGGCAGUGGAUAGGGACGCAGCGAACCGCCAUUCUGUAGCUAGGGGCGACGUGGAGGUGGUUGGAGCUGGUCGGCGCACUCCGAUGAACUCCACACUGCUCAAGGGGCAAGCUGGCGCGCGUGUGUGGCUCGGGCGCCGCCGUCCAGGGCAGAGGUUGUCGGGGCGGCGCUGGCGGCAUGCGGUUGUGAUGCUGUGGUGCGCCAGGAGGGGGGCAGGGUGGCGCUGCGGCGAGGGAGGCGGGACGCUGGCUGCGAGUGGAAGGGGCCAGAACGGGUGCGGGGGAGGCGGCAGCGGGACGCGGUGGCUCGGGCGCAUGCACGUGCAAAACGCGCGCUCUAGCCGCGCCCAGAGCACGCACGCGACAUGCUCAACAAAAUGCCAGGGUGACCUAGAGUGCUUGAGCGAGGCUGGCAAAUAACCGGACUAGGUUAGAGUCUGCAAGAAAGUUAGUGGACAAACUGGUUUGUCCAGAGGUGCAAGGUCACAGUGCAAAGGCAAAAAUCAUGUCAAAACUGCCCAUGCACUCAAGGUGUUUGACAAAAUGCCAAUGGCAUCUAGGCAACUCUUGGGGUGGCCAAAUAUUCCAGAUCAAAGUCUAUUUAGAUGUAGGAGAGGAUGGCAAGGUUAGUUGGCCAAAUCUAGAACCUUGUUAGUGUAAGUUUUGCAAAACUCCAGUUCUGGACAGAAGGAAAAGGGUAUAAUAUCAUGUACCAAAAAUGCUCCAAUGAGUCCAACCUCCUGGACUUAAGGGUUUGGUAGGGUGGUCUAGAAUCAGGAGAAAGAAUCAAGGGAAAAAGAGCAAGCAAAAAUAUGGUUUCAAUAAAAAUCACCAAGUUGAACCAGAAUGCAAAUGAGGAUGAUUCACUCAAUUUUUUCAAAGAGCAUCAAUGGGUUUUUGCAUAAAGAUGAAUAAUAUACUCCUAUUAACACCCCAUAAUUUUGGUGGAAGUUUUAAAGAAAUAUUUAAUUAGGUUGUAGUGCAAAAUUGCCCACUUGACCAGAUUUGAAAAUUUGAUGUAGAGCUCAAAAUAUCCAAAGAAUGAUAUAUAUUUUUGCAUAAAAGUGAUUUAAAAACAUCACAUGACAUCCCCAAAUUUUGGUGGGAUUUUUAAAUGAAUUUAUAAAAGGGUUGCAGUUCAAAUGGAACCCUAAAACUUAUGAAAACCCCUUUUAGAGGAAUAAAGCUCAGGAAAAAUAAUUAUAUAAAUAAUCCUACUGAUAAAAGAAUUGUUUUAUUUGAGAGGGUAAAUAAGUCCAAUAAUGUUUGAAUUUUUUUCACUUGGGGUAAAAACCUCAUAAAAAUAAAGAAAAGAAUGGUUCUGAAAUCAAUAGGAAAUCCUGAAAAUAAAAGUUUAAGUUUCCUGGCAAAAUUUUAAUAAAUAAAACAUGGUUAAAUUUUUGGGGUGUCACAACACUACCCCCCUUAAGAAAAAUCUCGUCCUCAAGAUUUGUUAAGAGUUGUUUUCGAAAAUAUCAUUCCUGUUAGUUGAAACCAAAAGGUUUACUCAUAGUACAAACCUUGUGUCGUCAAGGUUGGUUUUUGGCAGCUACGUCCGUGGUUAAAAAUGCAAUCGCACAUCGACAUACUCAUGCAUGGCUACUAUUUAAAAUAGGGCGCACAAGCAACAGUAUUUAAUUACGGCGAUACAGGUUCACACAGUUACAAGGCGAGGACAUGCUAAGACUUGGUACUACUCGAGCAACUCUAGUCUACCUCGUUAAUAUCUAAGCGGGCGUGCCUUGCGGACUUCGAGGCUUCGCCACGGUUUUCACCAUCGGGAUUAGCUGGAGGGGGUUGAGGGGCUGCAGGGUCGGGGUAGCGAUGAUGACCAUUCCGGGGAUUGUUGGCCACAAUCCCGUUGGAAUGUGUUCCCAAAAGGCGACGAAGCACUUCUGGGGCCAUCGAGGUAUUAUGGUCGAUGGCUGGGGCAGACCUCAAGGACUCGAUCGGUUGUCCGAACAGCACGACUGGGCUGUCGGUGCCGGGCUCCUCUUUUCCUCUUGCUGGGGCUCGGCGGGUCAGUUCUCCACGAGCUGCGAUCAGAUCAAGGGUGAUUUGAUCGAACAGUCCCUCUAAUACACAUACCGUACCAGAUGCAAUAAUGCAGGAUCCAUCUCGUGGUCUCCGUUGGCAACUUGGGGUGGUCUACCAUAUCCGUCACGGCUGGGGUAGUAGUAGAACGAGCGGCAAUUGACUCUGGGCGACAAGUGCCGGAGUUGAACUAUAGCCUCUCGAGCAGCUAGUUGGAUGGCUUGUGGCUCAAAGGAAGUUGUCCUUCCGGUGAACCUGUAGGGGCAUUCUGGUGAUAGACCCCUACCGUAGACGUGCACAGUGGCCCAGAAUUGAUGGCUCUCACCGCUCAUGGGUCCUUGGUACACAACAUAUUCUGGGGGCUCUUCUAACGCGAAGGCACGGCGGGUGAGGUUUGCUAGCACGGUCACAAAACCUCCAAGGUUGGUUGCCGUGGUCUCAUUGUGAACAAUUGGUCCUGGCAUUUUAGCUUGGUUUGGGCAGAGGUUGUGAUGUGCUGGGUUGGGGCUAGCGUGCCCUUUUUAUAAAAAAAAGGACGGAGUCUUCCUUCGCACGCUUGCGAAUGAGAUAAUUUUGGUGUCGGUCACUGGCGCGUGAUCGACAGGCUAGGCUGAUAGGUUGGGCACCGACUGCCAAAAAGGUGUUGGUCACUGUGUGGCUAUCUUACACGAGAAGCUUGGCCGGGGUUAGGUUAAGGCCUGGUGGGUUGGUUUACCUAGGUUUUUUUUUGACCUGUCUAAGAUAGGAUUAGCCAAUGGUCAGUCUGGCUUUGAUACCAAGUUUGUCAGGACCGGAUUUUCGGGAUAUUAGUUUCCAGAAAAUUGCCCUUGUGCUCACCAGCCCCAGGAUUACUGUUAGCUGAUGAGGCAACAACUUGAUACAGAAAUUCCAAGCAAAAUACACAAUAUGUAGUACAAGACCUUUCUGGCCUAUGAGUACAACAAAUGGUUUCUAGUGGUUGAUGGCGGAAGCGGUUUGUGGAUCAUCAGCGCCUAUGGGACUCCAAUUCCCACAGGAACAGCUGACCUGAUUAACUCCUAUCUUCGUGAGGCUGCUAUCACCGUUGCUUAGGUUCCGGGGCUGUCAUCGCAACGCUCCUCACCAAGCAAGAAAUCUGGCCAAGACAAUAGCCAGGGACAAGCCAGUGAGUACUUUUGAAUGUACUCGCAAACAUUAUGAACACGGGUAUGAUAUAACAACCAGUAAUCAUACUCUAAAAUAUUCUAUGCUCACAACGUCCGUCAUAAAAAUAAUAUCCCUGAUACAUGCAAGCAGGUUAUUUAUGUAAAACAUGAAUAUUCAAUCAGAGAGUAAAAAUAAAAUGCACCGAGCGGGUGUCUGAAGCGACGCCUCGAAAGGAUAAUAAUAUAGGGCAUGCCUCAGCCGGGCGUCUGCGCGACACCACAUACAUGGCUUAUAAAGUAAAUAAAUAAUGAGCAUGCCACAGUCGGGCGUCUGAGCGACACCACAUAAAGGGCUUAUAAGGUAAACAAUAAGAAUGCCACAGUCGGGCGUCUGAGCGACACCACAUAAAGGGCUUAUAAGGUAAACAAUAAGAAUGCCGCAGUCGGGCGUCUGAGCGACACCACAUAAAGGUCUUAUAAGGUAAACAAUAAGAAUGCCACAGUCGGGCGUCUGAGCGACACCACAUAAAGGGCUUAUAAUAAAACAAUCACAGUGAAUAUCCAGGAGGUAGAACCGUCCCAGGGAUACUCAAUAAUCCCAGUAAUAUGGUGGGUUAGUCCAUAAUAAUAAUAAUCACAAUCAUCAUAAUCAACACAAGUCACAGGUCAUGAUCCAUGUUCUGGUUUAGCAGUUUCUCCUCAGAAGACCGACACUUGACCCAACCCAUACUGUAGUCCUUAACCAUGGACACGUCUAUUCGAAUAGAUUUAACCUCUGCAGAGGGUGUACUCUUUACCCACGAGUAACGGAUUCCUUUAGUCCAUCGGGACUAAUUCCGUCUACGGUCUUUUAAUUGAAAACACACCUGACUUGCACACACCAGCUUAACUUACCGGUGUCUGGAAUCACCCACGACACCUGUCAAGCAAAAACUCUAAGUGUGGAGGCUACAACCUCGCAUAGCAUGGGAUCAAAUUUAUAUCGCGCGCUCUAAGGGGUGCCCCCGCCCCCUCUCGGUCCGAACCGGAAACACCCAUGCCCCCGGACCAGGUGGCCUGCCUACCGGCUGCAGUCGGUAUCUUCCACCAUGACCUCUCUGUACAGGGACUUUCCCGUUUUCCUUUCGGUAGGCGCGAAGGGCAUACGAGGAUGAUCACUAUCACAAGCAUGUCCAUUUCCAACAGCAAGGAAAUCCCCAAUAUGCAUUCAUGCAAAUGAUCGCGUCACCACAUAAAAUAACGAGUUCUCCCUAUUAAGGUGGUGUUAUAAUCAUGUCAACCAACACACAAAAAUAUUACGCCAGGGUUCAGAAUGCUUACCUUCAAGGGUAUGCAAGUGGGGUGUACCUUUUGAAAGUUGUCUUCUUCUUCAAAAACCUAUUUUCGAAAAUAUUCAAAUUAACACAUACUUUAAAAACAGUACAAAAAGUUGCUUGGAAAAUUUUCGAAUAAAUAUGAAAAUAAACUAGACAAUAUUUGGGAAACAACAGAAAAAGAAUCAAGUCAUUUGGAUUUAUAUCUAAAAAGUUAUAGCCUGUCAAACUUUAGUCAACUUUUUGUUUUUAAAAUAAAACUGAAAAAAAAUGUUUCGAAAAGGGUACACGUCAAAGUCGUACUUUGGGAAUACGCCUCCACUUAAAACACGUGGUGGCGGGGCUGGGUCACUAACACUAGGUCCAGCGGCCCCACUGGUCAGGUUUGACUAGUCCCCCGCCUUCUUCCUCCUCUGUCCGAGCCGAGGCGGGGGCUCCGGCGAUCGACGCCGGCGAACGACGGCUCCUCGCGGGGCUCUGAGGGCGGGGAUGGAUCCGCCACUCCCGGGCGGUCCUCCCGAUGGUCGAGAGGGUGGCGGGGACGAAGGGAGUCGCCGGCGGCGAGCCUUGCGGCGGACGGCAGCUUCGGGAGGUUUGGGGGUUUGGGUUAUGGUGCUUCCCGAUCGACGCUGAGAGGGUGGGUGGCUCCGCACGGUUGGGGGAGAAGGAUGGAAGCACGGGAGGGGUUUGGGGGCCUCGGUCUUGGCCGGAUUUCACCGGAGUGUGGCGGCGGCCGAACCUGUCGGGGACGAGGAAGAUGGCCGUCAUUCACCGAUUGCUGGCUACGGGAGGGCUCUAGGGGGGUGGCUCGAGGCUGCCUGAGUGCUGGGACGAGCUCGGGGUCCCCUUUUAUAGUGCAACGAGGUUGGUUCCGCGGCGGCAGUGGAUCGGGACACCGGCGAACCGCCGUUCUGUAGCUAGGGGCGACGUGGAGGUGGUUGGAGCUGGUCGGCGCACUCCGACGAACUCCACACUGCUCAAGGGGCGAGCUGGCGCGCGUGUGUGGCUCGGGCGGCGCUAUCCAGGGCAGAGGUUGUCGGGGCGGCGGUGGCGGCCUGCGGUGGUGAUGUUGUGGUGCGCCAGGAGGGGGGGCCAGGGUGGCUCUGCGGCGAGGGAGGGGUCGGGACGCUGGCUGCGAGUGGAAGGGGCCAGAACGGGUGCGGGGGAGGCGGCAGCGGGACGCGGCGGCUCGGGCGCACGCACGUGCAAAACGCGCGCUCUGGCCGCGCCCAGAGCACGCACGCGACGUGCUCGACAAAAUGCCAGGGUGACCUAGAGUGCUUGAGCGAGGCUGGCAAAUAACCGGACUAGGUUAGAGUCUGCAAGAAAGUUAGUGGACAAACUGGUUUGUCCAGAGGUGCAAGGUCACAGUGCAAAGGCAAAAAUCAUGUCAAAACUGCCCAUGCACUCAAGGUGUUUGACAAAAUGCCAAUGGAAUCUAGGCAACUCUUGGGGUGGCCAAAUAUUCCAGAUCAAAGUCUCUUUAGAUGUAGGAGAGGAUGGCAAGGUUAGUUGGCCAAAUCUAGAAACUUGUUAGUGUAAGUUUUGCAAAAGUCUAGUUCUGGACAGAAGGAAAAGGGUAUAAUAUCAUGUACCAAAAAUUCUCCAAUGAGUCCAACCUCCUGGACUUAAGGGUUUGGUAGGGUGGUCUAGAAUCAGGAGAAAGAAUCAAGGGAAAAAGAGCAAGCAAAAAUAUGGUUGCAAUACAAAUCACCAAGUUGAACCAGAAUGCAAAUGAGGAUGAUUCACUCAAUUUUUUCAAAGAGCAUCAAUGGGUUUUUGCAUAAAGAUGAAUAGUAUACUCCUAUUAACACCCCAUAAUUUUGGCGGAAGUUUUAAAGAAAUAUUUAAUUAGGUUGUAGUGCAAAAUUGCCCACUGGACCAGAUUUGAAAUUUUGAUGUAGAGCUCAAAAUAUCCAAAGAAUGAAAUAUAUUUUUGCAUAAAAGUGAUUUAAAAACAUCACAUGACAUCCCCAAAUUUUGGUGGGAUUUUUAAAUGAAUUUAUAAAAGGGUUGCAGUUCAAAUGGGACCCUAAAACUUAUGAAAAAUCCUUUUAGAGGAAUAAAGCUCAGGAAAAAUAAUUAUAUAAAUAAUCCUACUGAUAAAAGAAUUGUUUUAUUUGAGAGGGUAAAUAAGUACAAUAAUGUUUGAAAAGUUUUCACUUGGGGUAAAAACCUCAUCAAAAUAAAGAAAAGAAUGGUCCUGAAAUCAAUAGGAAAUCCAGAAAAUAAAAGUUUAAGUUUCCUGGCAAAAUUUUAAUAAAUAAAACACGGUUAAAUUUUUGGGGUGUCACAGACAAUCUCUAUGGACUAAUGGUUGCUUUGAGUUAUAUUUGAAAGGUUAUCCAUAGGCAAUGCUUGAAGACCAUAUGUUGGUUUCAAGGUUGAAAGAAGAAUAUUAUUUGUUGACCAAGGUGUUAUUCAUGGAGUUAUCCAAAUAUUGGUCAUGUGAGAGUUGAGUAUAUUGCAAGCAUGUCUUGAAAAUAAGAUUAUUUGAACAUUCAUGUUGCCUUUAAUACAUCAUCUUUAUGAAGAGAGAAGAUAAGAUACAAGGUUGAUCAAGACUAAGUACAAAGAAUGGAUUCAAGUUGAUGAACACACAAAGCAUAGAAGAUGUACCGAGUCGAAUCAAGUGAUCUCACGAUAUGGUAAGCAUUGUCCAUUAUGCUUUGUGUAACCCAUGAUCUAUUUGUGUGGUGUUCCUAUGUGGGGCUAGUUUUUUUCCAUGGGCUUACAUCAAGAGGAAGAUAUCAGAUAACCCAUGGAGGAUGACAUCAUGUGGUGAUCGUCAUCAAUGUUGUGUUGUGCAAGUUCAAGUGGAGCAUCACAAAGAGAUCACAUGCUUGAAGCUUGCCAUCCAUUCUGGUGAUAAUGGAGUUGUGAAGAUGUGCCAAAGAGAGGCCAACCCAUAGUGGAGUAUGGGGGAGCAAUAUAUUGGUCUUCAUCGAGCUAGCGCAAUCAGAAAGGUGGUCCAACAUGAGGAGGACGAGAUCAUCAUCGUCUAGCUCAAGUGGACUAUGCGCAAGGCAAAGGUUUGACCUUAAUAGGUUUUCUGUUUUACCGAUCUGAUGGUGUUAGUUGGGAGACCGGGUUGAAGGAUUGAUUGACGUACUAUCAAGGGGGCUCUCGAGUGAGUAGCUUGAGCGUAUCAUUCAUAGAGAGCUCAAACCAUUGCAUCAUUGGCAUCAUCUUUCUUGGUUCUUGUUUGGCUUUUCCCUAUGUGAGUUUUGGAGCUUGUGGUCAUCUCCGUGGCAAGUUCAAGUUGAUCAAAAAUGGAUUUCAUAUGCAGCAUGUAUUGUGUUUUCGAUGUAGGAGUUUUUGCCAGUUCUUCACUCAUGUAUAUUUCACACCUCUAUUGUGAUUUGACAACUCUUGUAGUUACCUUUCUAUCAAGUUUCAAUUCAUCAAUAUCAAAGUGGUGGUACCGCUUGCUACUGGUGGUAGUACUGCUUAUGCAGUACUUUCGCUGGUUGGUGCCGUGGCUACCUCUGGUUGUGUUUAGUCUUCUGUAUGCCUCUGGCAAUUCGCGGUAGUGCCACUGCUUCCAACGGUAGUACCGCUUGAUGCGGUUCUUCCGCUCUGGCGCCGCUUGAACUACUGCUGGUUUGUCUGUUAGCCUAUUGACAAUUAGCGACAGUAUCGCUUGUUGUAGCCGGUGGGACCGCUCCGGCAGAACUAGGAUGCGAGUACCACUGUGGUACUCGAUGAGCCUUAGUGAAACUGCCGCUCUUAGCAGUAGUACCGCUUGAGCAUGACCAGUGCAUAAUGGUCUUAUUCUUGCCCCCACUAUAAAAGGGGGUCUUCUUCACCAUUGCUCCUAGCAACUUUGAGCAAGCUUUCUCCUCCAUUAUUGACCUCUAAAAGCUUUGCUUUAUCUCUAUCCCUCCCAUGGUUCUUGCAUCAUUUUGAGGGGAAAGAGAUAGGAUAUCUAGAUUCUAUAUCUACAUUUCCACCAAUCCAUCUUACGUCUAAGUGAGGGGAACCCUUUGGAUCUAAAUCUUCGAGUUCUUUUGUGUUCUCCUUGUUCUUCCUCACAUAUUCCACCAUAGCUUUCGUUAAUUUGUGGGAUUUGAGAGAUGUGGGACUUGAGCACUUAGUGUGUUCUUGCCAUUACAUUAGUUGCAUCGGUUUGAGUUCUCCAUGAUGAUACAUGGAAGUGAAAGUCGAGAAGCUUACUAGUACCUUUUGGGUAUUUGGGUGUCCUAGAUGAUUGGUGGUGUCUCAAAGCUCAAUCAUUGUUGUGUAAAGCUUCGAGAAAGCUUUGGGGUCUCUAAUACGUCCAUUUUAUAUCAUGUUUUCCUACUACUAUUUCUAAUGCUUUAUAGCUAUAUUUCACCUUUGAUGCAAUUCCAAUGCCUUUUCUCUCUUAAUUGCCAGUUAUAUCACAAGAGGAAGAUUGCCGACAGCUGGAAUUCUGGACCUGAAAAGUGCUACAACAGAGAUAGCUAUUCUCUUGAGCUCCAAAUGACCUAAAUUUUUCCAAAGAUUUGUUUUGAAAUAUAUAAAAAAUACUAGAAGCAAAAUGCACUGAAGGGGACGCACUAGGGAGCUACAAGCUCGGGGGCGCGCCCACCCCCUGGGGUGCACCUGGUGAGCUUAUGAGUCCCACAGAAGGUCUAUGUGGCCCAUCGUCUCCUAUAUGAAGCCAUUUUCCCUAUAAAAAUAAUCAAGAGAAGACUUUUGGAACGAAGCGCCACCGUCUCGAGGCGGAACCUGGGCAGGAGCAAUUUUGCUCUGUGGCAAAGCGAUUCCACCGGGGAAACUUCCCUCUGGGAGGGGGAAAUCAAAGCCAUCAUCAUCAUCAACGUUCCUUUCAUCAUGGGAGGACUCAUCUCCGUCAACAUCUUCACUAGCACCAUCUCACUUCAAACCCUAGUUCAUCUCUUGUAUUCAAUCUUUGUCUCAAACCUCAGAGUGGUACAUGUGGGUUGCUAGUAGUGUUGAUUACAUCUUGUAGUUGAUUUACUUGGUGGAAGAUCAUAUCUUUAGAUUUUUAAUCAUAUAUUAUUCUCCUCUUAUCAUGAACAUGAAUAUGAUGUGUGAGUAGUUUCUUUUAUUCUUGAGGAAACAGGAGAAGUCUUGUUGUAAGUAAUCAUGUGAAGUUGGUUUUCAUUCAAUAUUUUGAUGAUGUGCUAUGUUGUUCUUCCUCUAGUGGUGUCAUGUGAAUGUCGACUACAUGUCACAUUAUCAUGUUUGAGCCUAGGGGAAGGCAUUGUGGGAUUAGUCAGUAGAUGAUGGGUUGCUAGAGUGAUAGAAGCUUAAAUCCUAGUUUAUGCGCUAUUUCGUAAGGGGCUGAUUUGGAUCCAUAUGUUUCAUGCUAUGGUUGGAUUUAUCUUAAUUCUUCUUUCGUAGUUGUGGAUGCUUGCGAGAGGGGAUAAGCAUAUCUAGAUUAAGGAUAUGGAUGUACUCAUAUAGAAAUUUAAUGGUAUUAAUUUUAUAAUUUGUUUGGACGUGUGUUAGUGGUUCUAAAAAGGAUGUGAAUACACACAUAUAGCAAAAAUAUAUACAUUAGCGGUUCCAAAGAAUUACGUUAAGGUACUCAUAUAUGAAUAUAUGGCUAGCAGUCCAUACCGUAUGAAACUAGUAUGCUUAAAGAUUAUCUAUGUCAACUCUUACUAAACAUUACAAGGUCCAAUUCUAGUCAAACAGCAAUGCUUCUAUAUCAAUUGCUAAUAAAUUUGGAUGUAUGGAUAAGGAUGAACUUUAACUAUCAUCCAUGUAUUCCAAAAAGUAUAAUUGACACCAAUGUUUCUUGUACACGAUUCUACAAAUCUCUCUAGCAAGUGGUCCCAACAUGCCAAUACAAACAUGAAACCUAGACAAUUUUUAGGGUCCUUGGGGUGAUACUUCUAUAUAAGGGGGGCACAUCUCCGCAUAUCUCCCACUAACAUGUCGUUAGCCAAUGGUUUUGGUAAAUCUCUAGCAUUUCGUAGAUUCUUGUUGCUCUUGUUUAUAGUAGUAAGUUUCAUUUUCUUCAUAGGAUUUAGUAUGCCAAGGAGGGAGAGGCGGUCAGGUGUCGCAUACAUCCAUGAUGACAAAGAGCGUGAUGGCUCCUUCUUCAAGAGGCGCAGUGGUUUGUUCAAGAGCGCUGCUAACCUCAAUGCCCUCACCGGUGCUAGGGUUGCUAUCAUCCUAGAGGGGAGCAAUGUUGUUAUGCUCUUUCAGACAAACCAUCCUACAAUGGAUUUCUUGGGAUGGAUGCUUAAUUGGGUAAUGAUGGUACUAAGUAGACAUUCUUCUAUAGGAAAUGGUGAAUGUGUUUAUGCGCAAUAGGAAUCUUCUUCCAGCGAGCAAGAUGUUGAUGCUUGGGUGCAAUCUGAAGGACUUAGUUAGAAGCUAGUUAGACUUACAUUUUAGUUUUAUAUCAGAAUGAAAGCUAGUUACAUUACCACCUGGAAAAUGUUACCAUUUGGACAUUUUACUAAGCCCCUUCCAGGCAAUAAUAUACAUGUUCAGUGUUGUAGGUCUUGGAACAUGGAAGUUUUUUUUCUAUGUGCCGCUUCAUAUUUUCAUUAUAAUCAAAUAUUUUAUUUUCUUUGUGAGAUGUUAUGUAUCUUAUGGGUGAAGGAAGAGGAAACCUUGAUUUAUAAUACCACCCCUCUUAGCAUAUUCUGAUCCAACCAUUAGUAAUUAACAGAAAAUGGGAGCUAUGCGGAGUAAGUAACUAAAAGGUAGCACAAGUUCAUAUUUCCACUCAAGCGACAAGCAUCAAUUGCUUUAAUUGCAUAAGUGUAUGAAAAAUAAGAACAACUCAAUAUGAGAUUCAUUUGAAAUCACGGUAAAUCAAUGUUUUAUUAAUAGAUGCCAAUGCUUUAUUGUCAUUAAAUUAAAACCAUAGUAUACCUGCGAGGACAUGGCGGCCACCUAAUUCUCCAUUUCAGUUUCAGUAGCAGGAAACAACAAAUUUAUGAAAUGAAUCUACUUUUGUUGCCUUCGUUGGUUUUUAUCCUUGAAUAAAAAGUGAUUUUUUUGUAAUGAUAUUGCUCAUCUAAUUAAUAAAUUAGACCAUCGGCCGAUUGCAUUAUGCAAUUGUUCUAAUCUUCUCACCGUUGAAAGAGCAUGGUGCCCCAAUGUUUGGUUUUUGUAAUUGAUGACAAUCUCUAUGGAUUAAUGGUUGCUUUGAGUUAUAUUUGAAAGGUUAUCCAUAGGCAAUGCUUGAAUACCAUAUGUUGGUUUCAAGGUUGAAAGAAGAAUAUUAUUUGUUGACCAAGGUGUUAUUCAUGGAGUUAUCCAAAGAUUGGUCCUGUAAGAGUUGAGUCUAUUGCAAGCAUGUCCUGAAAAAGAAGAUUAUGUGAACAUUCAUGUAGCCUUCAAUACAUCAUCUUUAUGAAGAGAGAGGAUAAGAUACAAGGUUGAUCAAGACUAAGUACAAAGAAUGGAUUCAAGUUGAUGAACACACAAAGCAUAGAAGAUGUACCGAGUCAAAUCAAGUGAUCUCACGGUAUGGUAAGCAUUGUCCAUUAUGCUUUGUGUAACACAUGAUCUAUUUGUGUGGUGUUCCUAUGUGGGGCUACUUUUUUUCCAUGGGCUUACAUCAAGAGGAAGAUAUCAGAUAACCCAUGGAGGAUGACAUCAUGUGGUGAUCGUCAUCAAUGUUAUGUUGAGCAAGUUCAAGUGGAGCAUCACAAAGAGAUCACAUGCUUGAAGCUUGCCAUCCAUUCUAGUGAUAAUGGACUUGUGAAGAUGUGCCAAAGAGAGGCUCACCCAUAGUGGAGUAUGGGGGAGCAAUAUAUUAGUCUUCAUCGAGCUAGCGCAAUCAGAAAGGUGGUCCAACGUGAGGAGGACGAGAUCAUCAUCAUCUAGCUCAAGUGGACUAUGUGCAAGGCAAAGGUUUGACCUUAAUAGGUUUUCUGUUUUACCGAUCUGAUGGUGUUAGUUGGGAGACCGGGUUGAAGGAUUGAUUCACGUACUAUCAAGGGGGCUCUCGAGUGAGUAGCUUGAUCGUAUCAUUCAUAGAGAGCUCAAACCAUUGCAUCAUCGGCAUCAUCUUUCUUGGUUCUUGUUUGGCUUUUCUCUAUGUGAGUUUUGGAGCUUGUGGUCAUCUCCAUGACAAGUUCAAGUUCAUCAAAAAUGGAUUUCAUAUGCAGCAUCUAUUGUGUUUUCGAUGUAGGAGUUUUUGCCAGUUCUUCACUCAUGUAUAUUUCACACCUAUCAAGUUUCAAUUCAUCAAAAUCAAAGUUCAUUUGCCGAAGGUAUGCCUGUUUUGGUCUUAAUUACUUGCAUUCAACUGUUGUGCUUUGGUAUUUUGGUAGAGGGCAAGCGUUCUGCUUGGGCUGAGCCUUCUGUUGCCCCUCAACAUUUCGCGGUAGUACCGCUUGCUACUGGUGGUAGUACUGCUUAUGCAGUACUUCCGCUGGUUGGUGUCGUGGCUACCUCUGGUUGUGUUUAGUCUUCUGUAUGCCUCUGGCAAUUUGCGGUAGUACCGCUGCUUCCAACGGUAGUACCGCUUGAUGUGGUUCUUCCGCUCUAGUGCCGCUUGAACUACUGCUAGUUUGUCUGUUAGCCUAUUGACAAUUAGUGGCAGUACCGCUUGCUGUAGCCGGUGGGACCGCUCCGGCAGAACUAGAAUGCGAGUACCACUAUGGUACUCGAUGAGCCUCAGUGAAACUGCCGCUCUUAGCGGUAGUACCGCUUGAGCAUGACCAGUGCAUAAUGGUUGUAUUCUUGCCCCCACUAUAAAAGGGGGUCUUCUUCACCAUUGCUACUAGCAACUUUGAGCAAGCUUUCUCCUCCAUUAUUGACCUCCAAAAUCUUUGCUUUACCUCUAUCCCUCCCAUGGUUCUUGCAUCAUUUUGAGGGGAAAGAGAGAGGAUAUCUAGAUUCUAUAUCUUCAUUUCCACUAAUCCAUCUUACGUCUAAGUGAGGGCAACCCUUUGGAUCUAAAUCUUCGAGUUCUUUUGUGUUCUCCUUGUUCUUCCUCACAUAUUCCUCCAUAGCUUUCGUUACUUUGUGGGAUUUGAGAGAUGUGGGACUUGAGCACUUAGUGUGUUCUUGCCAUUACAUUAGUUGCAUCGGUUCGAGUUCUCCAUGAUGAUACAUGGAAGUGAAAGUCGAGAAGCUUACUAGUACCUUUUGGGUAUUUGGGUGUCCUAGAUGAUUGGUGGUGUCACAAAGCUCAAUCAUUGUUGUGUAAAGCUUCGGGAAAGCUUUGGGGUCUCUAAUACGUCCAUUUUAUAUCAUGUUUUCCUACUACUAUUUCUAAUGGUUUAGAGCUAUAUUUCACCUUUGAUGCAAUUCCAAUGCCUUUUCUCUCUUAAUUGCCAGUUAUAUCACAAGAGGAAGAUUGCCGACAGCUGGAAUUCUGGACCUGAAAAGUGCUACAACAGAGAUAGCUAUUCUCUUGAGCUCCAAAUGACCUAAAUUUUUCCAAAGAUUUGUUUUGAAAUAUAUAAAAAAUACUAGAAGCAAAAUGCACUGGAGGGGACGCACUAGGGAGCUACAAGCUCGGGGGCGCGCCCACCCCCUGGGGCGCACCUGGUGAGCUUAUGGGUCCCACAGAAGGCCUAUGUGGCCCAUCGUCUCCUAUAUGAAGCCAUUUUCCCUAUAAAAAUAAUCAAGAGAAGACUUAGCGCCACCGUCUCGAGGCGGAACCUGGGCAGGAGCACUUUUGCUCUCUGGCAGAGCGAUUCCACCAGGGAAACUUCCCUCUGGGAGGGGGAAAUCAAAGCCAUCAUCAUCAUCAACAAUGUUCCUUUCAUCAUGGGAGGACUCAUCUCCGUCAACAUCUUCACUAGCACCAUCUCACUUCAAACCCUAGUUCAUCUCUUGUAUUCAAUCUUUGUCUCAAACCUCAGAGUGGUACAUGUGGGUUGCUAGUAGUGUUGAUUACAUCUUGUAGUUGAUUUACUUGGUGGAAGAUCAUAUCUUUAGAUUUUUAAUCAUAUAAUUCUCCUCUUAUCAUGAACAUGAAUAUGAUGUGUGAGUAGUUUCUUUUAUUCUUGAGGAAACAGGAGAAGUCUUGUUAUAAGUAAUCAUGUGAAGUUGGUUUUCAUUCAAUAUUUUGAUGAUGUGCUAUGUUGUUCUUCCUCUAGUGGUGUCAUGUGAAUGUCGACUACAUGUCACAUUAUCAUGUUUGAGCCUAGGGGAAGGCAUUGUGGGAUUAGUCAGUAGAUGAUGGGUUGCUAGAGUGAUAGAAGCUUAAAUCCUAGUUUAUGCGCUAUGUCGUAAGGAGCUGAUUUGGAUCCAUAUGUUUCAUGCUAUGGUUGGAUUUAUCUUAAUUCUUCUUUCGUAGUUGUGGAUGCUUGCGAGAGGGGAUAAGCAUAUCUAGAUUAAGGAUAUGGAUGUACUCAGAUAGAAAUUUAAUGGUAUUAAUUUUAUAAUUUGUUUGGACGUGUGUUAGUGGUUCUAAAAAGGAUGUGAAUACACACAUAUAGCAAAAAUAUAUACAUUAGUGGUUCCAAAGAAUUACGUUAAGGUACUCAUAUAUGAAUAUAUGGCUAGCAGUCAAUACCGUAUGAAACUAGUAUUCUUAAAGAUUAUCUAUGUCAACUCUUACAAAAGAUUACAAGGUCCAAUUCUAGUCAAACAGCAAUGCUUCUAUAUCAAUUGCUAAUAAAUUUGGAUGUAUGGAUAAGGAUGAACUUUAACUAUCGUCCAUGUAUUGCAAAAAGUAUAAUUGACACCAAUGUUUCUUGUACACGAUUCUACAAAUCUCUCUAGCAAGUUGUCCCAACAUGCCGAUACAAACAUGAAACCUAGACAAUUUUUAGGGUCCUUGGGGUGAUACUUCUAUAUAAGGGGGGCACAUCUCCGCAUAUCUCCCACUAACAUGUCGUUAGCCAAUGGUUUUGGUAAAUCUCUAGCAUUUCGUAGAUUCUUGUUGCUCUUGUUUAUAGUAGUAAGUUUCAUUUUCUUCAUAGGAUUUAGUAUGCCAAGGAGGGAGAGGCGGUCAGGUGUCGCAUACAUCCAUGAUGACAAAGAGCGUGAUGGCUCCUUCUUCAAGAGGCGCAGUGGUUUGUUCAAGAGCGCUGCUAACCUCAAUGCCCUCACCGGUGCUAGGGUUGCUAUCAUCCUAGAGGCGAGCAAUGGUGUUAUGCUAUUUCAGACAAACCAUCCUACAAUAGAUUUCUUGGGAUGGAUGCUUAAUUGGGUUAUGAUGGUACUAAGUAGACAUUCUUCUAUAGGAAAUGGUGAAUGUGUUUAUGCGCAAUAGGAAUCUUCUUCCAGCGAGCAAGAUGUUGAUGCUUGGGUGUAAUCUGAAGGACUUAGUUAGAAGCUAGUUAGACUUACAUUUUAGUUUUAUAUUGGAAUGAAAGCUAGUUACAUUACCACCUGGAAAAUGUUACCAUUUGGACAUUUUACUAAGCCCCUUCCAGGCAAUAAUAUACAUGUUCAGUGUUGUAGGUCUUGGAACAUGGAAGUUUUUUUUCUAUGUGCCGCUUCAUAUUUUCAUUAUAAUCAAAUAUUUU
rnacentral:lncRNA from 1 species